ensembl:lncRNA
AUGGAGAGACUCGUGAUUGGGAAGGAGGAAAACACACAGACACACACACUCAUCUCCCUCCAUCCUCUUCCUCUCACUCCGCCCCCCGAGGGGCGGUACCCUGGUCCCUGGGGGAGGUUUAGGCCGAGGACCCGGGAGCGCGGCGGGCCGGGGAGAAGGGCUUGGGUUUCGCAGCCCCAGCCGGGAGGCCGGUGGUGCGGCGGCCCCUCCCCUGCGAUCCCUUCCCCUCCUCCCCGUCUCCUCCGCCCCAUCCUCCUCCGGGUCCCCGGCAGCCGAGGCUCUGGGAGCAGCCGGCGGCGCAGCGGCCGCGCAGCCUUUGUCUCGGGGCAGCCGGGCGGAGGGCCCAGCGCAGGCGCCAUCCAGAGCCCACGAAGUUGCACAGCCAGUUGUCACGGAGACGAUGAGGCUGUGAUUGAUGAAUCGCAAGUCCCAGCCUGUUGCUCCCAAAGACAGGCUCCUCCCAGCCCUUCCAGCUCCCCUGAGACCCAAGCCAGCAGGAGGAACAUGCAGCCCCCGAAUCGCUGAGGCCCCUCCUAUCCCGCUUCUGCCUCACUGCCAGGGCCUCUUCCACGAUGGCCUGUAACCAAUCGUCCAUCGAGACCUACGAAUACCUGCUGCCCAACGGGAGCCACGAGGGGGACUCCAGGGUGCCCCCACCGCCCGCCACGCUCAGGAUGUCCCUGGCGGUCCUCAUGAUGCUGAUGGUCGUGGUGGGGUUCCUAGGCAACGCGGUGGUCUGCAUCAUCGUGUACCAGAGGCCGACCAUGCGCUCCGCCAUCAACCUGCUGCUGGCCACGCUGGCCUUCUCGGACAUCAUGCUGUGCUUGUGCUGCAUGCCCUUCACGGCCGUCACCCUCGUCACUGUCCACUGGCACUUUGGGGACUCCUUCUGCCGGCUCUCAGCUGCGCUCUACUGGUUCUUCGUCUUGGAGGGCGUGUCCAUCCUGCUCAUCGUCAGCGUGGACCGCUUCCUCAUCAUCGCGCAGCGCCAGGACCGGCUGAAUCCCCGCCGGGCCAAAGUGAUCAUUGCCGCGUCCUGGGCGCUGUCCUUCUGCGUCUCGGCGCCGGCGCUGGCCGGCUGGACGCUGGUGGAGGUGCCGGCGCGGGCCCCACAGUGCGUGCUGGGCUAUACCGAACUCCCGGCCGGCCGCGCCUACGUGCUGACUCUGGUGGGCGCCGCCUUCUUCAUUCCCUUUGCGGUGAUGCUCGGCGCCCACCUGGGCGUCCUGCAUGCGGUGCGCAAGAACGCGGUGCGUGUGCACAACCAGUCCGAGCGCCUGGACCUGCGCCGGCUACCCCGCGCCUGCCUGCGGCGGCUGCGGCGGCAGCAGCAGCAGGCCAGCCUGGACCUGAGUUUCAAGACCAAGGCCUUCACCACCAUCUUGAUCCUCUUCGUGGGCUUCUCGCUGUGCUGGCUGCCGCACUCGGUGUACAGCCUGCUGUCCGUGUUCAGCCGGCGCUUCUACUGCGGCCCCUCUUUCUACGCCACCAGCUCCUGCGUGCUGGGGCUGAGCUACCUCAAGUCCGUCUUCAACCCCAUCGUCUACUGCUGGCGGAUCAAGAAGUUCCGCGAGGCCUGUCUGGAGCUGCUGCCCCCCACCUUCCAGAUCCUCCCCAAAGUGCCUGAGCGGAUCCGGAGGCGAAUCCAGCCGAGCACCGUGUACGCGUGCACGGAGAACCAGUCCGCGGUGUAGGGGAGGGGCGAGCAAUAGCCACCAUCUGCCCCUCACUUGACUUCCUGGGACUCCCGAGCAGUCAGCGCUUAGCACAAAGGGACCCGCUGGUCACCAGGGAAACGGGCUCCCGCGUUUGCACGAUGAAUUAUUUCUGUUUCUUGCUGCGGAACAUUAGUGCAGACCUGUUGGAAACCCGAAGGCAUCAGGACCAAAGGGGAGAUGCGUGCAGUGAUGCAGGUGGUGGCGGUUCAGUCGCUAAGUUGUGUCCGACUAUUUCGACCCCAUGGACUGUAGCCUCCCAGGCUCCUCUGUCCGUGGGAUUUUCCAGGCAAGAAUACUGGAGUGGGUUGCUAUUUCCUUCUCCAAGGAACCUUCCUGACCCAGGGAUCAAACCCGGGUCCCCUGCACUGCAGGCAGAUUCCUUACCAACUAAGCUAUGAGUGAUGCCCGAGUUGGGCCGAAAGUUAGGGAGGAAGGGGAGCAGUAGGGAGGUUGGCUGAGUGGCAGGAGGAAGGCUCUGUGAGCCCUCUCCAGGCCUGCCUUGGAGACGCCCGGGUGCCCUGUUCUGAUGUGAGAAACCCCGGUUCGUCCAUCUCUGGGUGGUCAGGCAUUGUCUGCAGCACCAGCAUCCUCCACAGGCGUUGGUAUCUGUGUGUGCGUGGUGGAAGCAUGCAGAGUUCUUUAUGUUGGUCAGAUGGGCAUUUGGGGUGAUGCCAAACCAUCCUUUCUGGAAACCAAAGUCACAUAGGAGACAGAGGGGCCCUGGGCCUUUCAGCUCCCGUGUGACACACGGGAGACCUCGGUGGCUCGAAGCCCAGAGAAUGUUCGAGGGCAGCUCAGCUGAGAGGAGAAGCCCACCCCAGUGCUCAUGCAUGUCCUCAACCCUCCUGCCCUCCAUGGCCCCUCACCUGAAGCCACCUCUGGGUCAGCGGUGACAGCCCUGCCCCUUCUCUUCUUCCUGCUUCCUGCCCCGCCCCACCUGGCCCUCCUUCCAUCUGACCAAUGAGCGGGCACCACAUGCCUUGUCCUGCUGAUUCAUCAUUUCAGUACUUGUGUUGACUUGCUUUCAGGCUCAGAAGUGGCUGGGGGCUUUGUUUACAUGUUUCUCGUGAUGCCCUGAGGCCCGCCACAUCACCCCGUCACAGUGGCGGGAAUACAACCCCCACUGGGUUGCCUUCGUGACCUCUGUGUUCCUCUACCUCACGCAGGGCUGCAGGAGUCUGACUGCUGUAGCCUGGGCCACCUCCCCAGGACCCUGGGACCCCGGUCCCCCAGCCCAGGCAGGACCGUGAUCCAGAGGGCAGAUGCUUGGAGGGGACCCUUCUGCUUGUCCUGGGCACUGGGCCUCUACUCCCUGGGCCCCUGUUACCACCAGGAGCUUCCACUGCUGAAAGUGACUUUCCUGAGUUCAGGGCACACAGUUGGUUCUGUGGACUGUCCUUACACUUUCAGAUCUGAAGAGAGUGGGAGAUUUAAAGAAAAAUGUAGAAAACAUGAUUCCAAGCCCAACUCAGUUAGAAACUAGUCAUGUGAGCUUGCUGGUUUCUCCCCACUUUCUCUGGGCUUUGGUUUCCCCAUCCCUGAGGAAACAGGUUUAGAAGGUCUCCAAGGUCCCCGCCACCUCUCACACACUCCGAUUCUAAAAUGCGUAUGUUUUCCACUCGUAGACACCACACCCCCCGCCUGCGUUUAUCUAUCAUUAAUUAAGUGCCUAAGAGGUGCAAGGCACUGUGUGGUUGGGGGGUGGGGUGGGAGGGGUUUGGGCCUGGAGGCAGAUGUCAGAGUUAUCUCAGGAUAAUCAGGACUCACAUUUGGCGCAGGAACUCAGAUGUUCCCCAUGUGUAUUUCUUCUCGUUUCCUUUCCAAGGCUGUAUCACCAGACUAGCUCCUCAUUCUCCUCCUGUGACAGAAGCAAAAAAGAAAGAUAACACAGUUUACACUCCUCUAAGCCCAGAGGAGUUCUUUUUCAGAAAAUAGUUGGCACUUUUCUCACCAACCUCACCCUCCCUUUAUACACGGACCCAGAGCCCCUAGACCCUUUUAUACUCAGAGAGGGAGAGAGAGGUUGAUCGAAGAUGGGCAGUUGGUGUGUGAUUGAUUGAGGUGUGUCCCUCACGUCUGUGUCCUGUGAGCCCCCAGCAAGGUCAGGGUUUGCCCUCAGUCCCCACGAGGCAGAGCCGCAUGGCCUUGGUGGUAUCUGAGAGCACAGCCUGCCCGCCACAGGGACGGAGCCUCUGGGCACCUCCUCGCUCGUGGCCGUUUAAGAGAAUGUUCUUCAGGAGCCUUGAGUAAAAGAGAAAUCCCCAAACUUAAUGAAUGAAGGUACCAAAAUUUACAUCAAUCCGUGUUAUAUGAUGUGUGUUGGACAGUAAUAUAUAUGUUUCAAAGUAAUAAUUUUGUAUAUAUUUUAAAUAAAGUAUUAUUGUUCUUUCCGUGU